GCCACCGCGCCCGGCCCCAAGAGGCAUACUCUUAUAGCUCAUGAAGACUUGAAGGAGGUGAGGAGCCUCUGCCCUGGGAAUCCUCUCAUGCACUUUCAAGGUUUUAACUGUCUUCAAAACUGUUAGAAGGAGCCUAGAUCUCUCCUUAGCUUUUCAUUUAUAUUUUCAAGAGUCUGAGACAUUUUCACAGCUAUUUCUUAUAGGCAAGUCAAAUUCAACAUUUAAAGACCUAAUUUAAUCACCCAAUCACCCAAUAUAGAAAAUAUGAGUUAUCUUUGAUUCCUCCUGAUUAGACUUGUCAGUCCUACGUUUGACAUUCCAAGCUCCUUAAUUCUACUUUCCUAUGGCACUGCCUUAGUUUAAGCCGCUCAUUUCUUCCAGCUCCACCACCACCAGGAGCACUUCUCCAGCGGGUCUCCUUGCUUCCACUGUUACUGCGUCCUACUUUGUUCUAACGCCACCCUGGUUAGCCAGUGAUCCCUUAAAAUUAGGACAGAUUAUGCCACCCUCUGUUCAAAGCCCAACAGCUUCCCCCGUCAUUCAGAAAAUCCAGAAUCUGGCCUACGAGGCCCUUGUUACCCCGAUCUAGCUGCCCCGCUUGCUCUUCCCAUCCCUGACUCCACACUAGCCACAUCCUUCAUCACAGCAGACACCGCUCGCAAAGCUUUGGCUCUUGCUGUUCCUUCAGCCAGGAAUACUCUGCCCUUAGGUACGGAACAUGAGGGACAUGAGGGACAUGACUUGCUCCUCGUCUCCUUCAGGCCUGUGGUCAAAGGACCCCAAUCAGGAAGGCUUGCUUUUGCCACUGUCUGAAAUUGCCACCCACCUCUCCUUUUGUCUCUCCACUUACUUUUCCUCUUUUUUUUUUUUU
rnacentral:lncRNA from 10 species